GGAAGUUUCGCCUGGCUUCCUCUCUGUUAACCGUCCAAAUUCAUGCCCAUCACCUUUAUCGCAUGACGACGACGUAACUGAAACAACUCUCCCAGUCUCCCUCUAAAUCCAAAUCCAAACCCAAACCCUAAAAAUCUUUAAAUUCAUAACUGCUAAUACUUCUUUUCUACUCUCCACUGCCAAUUACAUUAACUUUGUCCAUGACUUCUCGGGCUCCGAUCACCUUUCGCCACAUCAUAACCAAGCCUCGCUCCACCCCCUCUGACAGGUCCUUGCAGACCUUCCCUCCUGAGAGAUACUCCGACCUCGUUCGGCGACGAGGUAGCCCCAUAUUGGUGCCACGGAAUUUGAUGUUACCGGCGGCGGAUAUUCGAAGCCUAUCGCAAAAGCUGACGAAGUUGCUGCUGAAUGUGAAUAUAGAGAGAAGUUUAGGGCCAGUGCACGUUAUUAUGGCGCCAGAUAAUACGGUGAGGGAUUUGAUAAAGGCGGCGAUUGAGAUUUACGUGAAGGAGAAGAGACGACCUCUUUUGAAAGAUACUAAUCCCGAUGGUUUUCAGCUCCACUACUCCCAGUUUAGCUUGGAAAGUAAGUCGGUCCUGUUUUUUCUUAGUAUUUUUCUUUUAAUACAGAAAAUAGUCACAAUUUAAAAUACGUCAUAUUAUUUCUGGUUUCCCUGUGAUUUUGAUUUGGAAUCUGUGGCUGCAUUAGAGGAGAGAGACUUAAACCAGAUCAUAAAUGGUUGAUUUCUCACAAUUUCAGUCUCAAUUCUAGUUUGAGGAUGAGUUCUCU
rnacentral:misc_RNA from 1 species